GUUGACCUCGGAUCAGGUAGGAAUACCCGCUGAACUUAAGCAUAUCAAUAAGCGGAGGAAAAGAAACCAACAGGGNAUUGCCUCAGUAACGGCGAGGA
rnacentral:rRNA from 1 species